UCCCGUGUGGCUCAGUUGGUAGAGCAUGGUGUUUGCAAUGCUAAGGUUUUGGGUUCGAUUCCCACAGGGGAC
rfam:Salmo salar isolate Sally breed double haploid chromosome ssa06, whole genome shotgun sequence.